UACGGGGGGGUGCGAGCGUUGUCCGGAAUCACUGGGCGUAAAGGGCACGUAGGUGGUUUGAUAAGGGUGUGGUGAAAGUCCGGGGCUCAACCCCGGAUCUGCCGUGCCGACUGUCAAACUCGAGGACUGUAGAGGCAGACGGAAUUCCGGGUGUAGCGGUGGAAUGCGUAGAGAUCCGGAAGAACACCGGUGGCGAAGGCGGCCUGCUGGGCAGUAGCUGACGCUGAGGCGCGACAGCGUGGGGAGCAAACAGG
rnacentral:rRNA from 1 species